CUUUUUAAUCAAACUUACACAUUCAUGCAUUGAAGGCAGUUUCCAAUUAUCUAUGGGUGUGGUUAGGUAGUUGAAUUGAAAGAUGUGAGGCAAGGGAAGGAAAAAAGAGGAGAGGUGCAGGUUGAGGCAUGUAGAGAAGCUAGCCUGGAGAGAAGCAGGAUAUUCUGGUUUGGGCUGGAGAGGAGAAUGGAGGGGGUAGGAUAAGUAUAAUGAUUUACAUAUUUUGACCAGAGUUUAACGUUUGCAUAGAAGAGUGGUAGAAGAUAAAUUCAGAAUGUUAUCUUAUAGAAGUAUUAUAGACAACUAAAAAUGAUGUAGGACCUGGGGAGUAAGUGCAAUGCUGUGAGCAGCAGAGCGAUUUAAUAAGAACUAGUCAUAUGAAAUGCAGUUUUACAAAGAACAAGGCCGUCUGACUCUCAAGGGGAUAUUCCAAGGCCAAUUGAAAAGGGGCUCUUACAGCAUCUGGUACAGCUAAGGGUGCAUAUCCACGCUUGACUCUAGCAGAAGACCUUCUUGGAAACAGAUAAACCAAGAGUGACUUUGCCAUUCACAAUGAAAUAGCUUAAAUCACAUGACUUGUCUUCCUAUCAAUAAAUUUGCAAAUUUUGAAACUGCA
rnacentral:lncRNA from 1 species